CUGGAAAAAUGGCCGAAGUGAUGCUGCAGAUGCCGCAAGGCAGUGGAGCAUGAACGAAGGUCCAAGGUCAUCAUCUUCGAUGCGCCCACACUUAUCGGCUGUAAAACGACAGUGACAGAGUAGAGAUGAGGGUCUGUAGCUCAGUCGGUUAGAGCACCGUCUUGAUAAGGCGGGGGUCGUUGGUUCGAAUCCAACCAGACCCACCACAGAUGCCGCAGGGUAUCGAGAAGGGGGAUUAGCUCAGCUGGGAGAGCACCUGCUUUGCAAGCAGGGGGUCGUCGGUUCGAUCCCGUCAUCCUCCACCAGGUCCAUCAUGCAAGCCUGAAUAGGGUGUGUUGAUUGGAUGAUCUACGCUGAUCACGAGUCUUGGCAAACCAAAGCAUAGGAGAAGGCUCCGAAGUGAGUGGUCUCGUGGACUUUGGUUUGCCAACGAAAGAAGGCUGUCGUUCUUUAACAAUUCGUAGAGUCGAAUCAGCGUUGCUGAUGGAAAAGCUGCCGGGGGUAAAGGCCUGGCAGUGUCCGUGCCAUCAGCGACAAUUGAUUGCGUCACCAGACAUCGACGAGAAGCAGUGCGAACUGCGACGAGUCGAGUGUACGGCAAACGUGAAUACUCAAAAACUCUGCUGCGACGAAGUCAGUUGCGGCAGGGUAGUCCUUGACGAUGUCGAGAAGAUCGAUGUCAAAGUUAUAGGGUCAAGUGACUAAGUGCAUGUG
rnacentral:misc_RNA from 1 species